rnacentral:tRNA from 1 species
GGGGAUUUAGCUCAGUGGUAGAGCGCUUGCCUAGCAAGCAUAAGGCCCUGGGUUCGGUCCCCAGCUUCG